GAGUCGUAACAAGGUUUCUGUAGGUGAACCUGCAGAAGGAUCAUUAGUGAAGAUUCAAGGGCCAGCCAUACAGACGUACAAUAAGUGUGUCUCUGGCGGCUCGCAUCCACUAUACAUCCAUAAACCCGUGUGCACUGUUCUAAGGAGUAAGAAAGAAGAAGAAUGGGGGAGGGAGAGAAGAGUGCAUUGUGCUUUGCAUAUAACUCUCUCACUCUCCGCUCUUUCUCUCUCCCUCUCUCCGGAUUAAAUUACAAACUCGUAUGGGUUUGUAAUGGAACGUGAGAUAUAUCGUUGGACCGUCACUGGCCAACGAAUAUAACACAA
rnacentral:misc_RNA from 1 species